UGUAUGUUAACGCUAAGUCAGCCAUGGAUAGAGAGUCAAGAAGAGUAAUUUUAAAUGUUCAAGAGGUCUCAAGGCCCUUGUAAGCCUUUAAAUCUUCAUGCGUGUAUGGAGACUUGGAACAUAGCAGGUAAUUUACCAAAUCAAGAUUGGUUAACAGUGGCAUUUUUCCUGCGAUGCUAAGUCCAUUGCACCAAUACUCUUCGUGAAUUGUAUAGGGGCAAUCACAACCUACUAUUAAUAGUUUUGCUGCAUACUUACGUUUAUUUUCUGACAGCCCUACAGAAAAGAUUUUUUGAAAAAUACAAGAAAUGUGAUCUGGAAACAGAAAUUG